CCUACGGGAGGCAGCAGUAGGGAAUCUUCCGCAAUGGACGAAAGUCUGACGGAGCAACGCCGCGUGAACGAUGAAGGCCUUCGGGUCGUAAAGUUCUGUUGUUAGGGAAGAACAAGUGCUAGUUGAAUAAGCUGGCACCUUGACGGUACCUAACCAGAAAGCCACGGCUAACUACGUGCCAGCAGCCGCGGUAAUACGUAGGUGGCAAGCGUUGUCCGGAAUUAUUGGGCGUAAAGCGCGCGCAGGCGGUUUCUAAGUCUGAUGUGAAAGCCCCCGGCUCAACCGGGGAGGUCAUUGGAAACUGGGAAACUUGAGUGCAGAAGAGGAAAGUGGAAUUCCAAGUGUAGCGGUGAAAUGCGUAGAGAUUUGGAGGAACACCAGUGGCGAAGGCGACUUUCNGGUCUGUAACUGACGCUGAGGCGCGAAAGCGUGGGGAGCAAACAGGAUUAGAUACCCUGGUAGUCCACGCUGUAAACGAUGAGUGCUAAGUGUUAGAGGGUUUCCGCCUUUAGUGCUGAGUUAACGNAUUAGCACUCCGCUAGGGGAUACGGUCGCAAGACAGAACGACAANAGAAGUAGUACGACGUGAGACGUCGCGACGGACGACGACGAGGGAGAGG
rnacentral:rRNA from 1 species